GGUCUCUGUCUACCUGAGGCCUUCUAAGGGAUUGCAGGGACAAUAUAAAGAGGAGAAAAAUGACAACAGACUGCUCCACUUCUAAUGACAUCAAGUGAUUCAAAUCUGACACUGAUGGGAUACUUUGAGAAGCUACCAUCAAUUCUCUCAAAUCUUUCUUUCUCCCUGCCUUCCCUCUGGACUUGGAACACUGGACUGAAAAGAAGAUGCCACAGAAGUAGCUAUUGCCCAGCAAUGGAGCAGGAAAUUCUUCAUUUCCACCUAUAGCCCUGGAAUACUGUCUGACAAGCACAAGAAAAAUAAGUGUUGCUGUUCUGCCAAUGCCCAAAGACUUCAAAGAGGAUUGGACCCAACAGGCCGUGGGAUGUUCAAAUGCAAAGUAGGACAUGGCCAUGCAGUUGAGAGCUGGUGUAGCUGGUCCCUGAAGUGCCUGUGCCCUGCCUUGGUGGGAAUUCCUGCAGCAACACUUAAAAACAUACGAACUGGUUUGACAGCACUUCAUUUUGACACAAUGAGUUCCAAACAAACCUUGUGGGGCCGAUUUAUCUUUUUGCACAUGCUGUCUCUUAUAAUGUAAUCUGCUGGUAUUGGAGGAUGAAAACCAUUGUAGAAGGGAAAUCAUGAAAAAGAAGCGUGUUCCUCCAGCUGACUGGAGUCAGCUGACUUUAAUCCGCUCUAAUAUUUUAGUUUGAUUUCCUCAGGAAAUGAAGCCUAGCUGAUAGUAUGCAUCAAUCUGUUUUUUCCAUGUGUUGUUCCUCCCAACCAAUUUCAACCACAUUUAAAAGAGGGCGGAAAGCUGAAAAGUGAGUUUGCACCUGUAUGGUUCUUAAUAGCUGGUGAUUAGGUAAUGCCUCACUCUGUCCAUAGAGGAAAGGCACCUGGCGGCAGCUAGCCAGGCCAAAUGGUGUCUCUGUUUCGCACUGCAGUGUGCAUUUUGGUAAACUAGAAAACAAGUACACGCUUCUGGACUACCCGCAGCAAACAGUUUAUUUUUGCUGCAGGGGAUGUCAUAGGGAUAUGAUGGGAUCUGGUCUUGGGAAGGCAGGCUUUGUAAUUUCUGUUUGCAGAGCAGCUUGCUCUAAAGCAGUCUAAAAAGGAAUACUUCUGGAGUGGCAUUACUUCUUUAGUGGCAAGAAUCCUGCAUACCUUUCCUAUGCAUGCACAGUCACCUUAGCAUUCUAGGGGGAUUCAUAAGGAGACUUUCUCUCUUUAUUUUUUUCAUAGGAUUUGCCUAGAAGGUGUAGGACAGACUGGAUAUUGAACCAGAACAGCUGCUGCUGCCUGUUCCACCUGCGGGUACUUUUCUCCCCCACAUUGCUAUCACUAGGUCAAUGGUGUGGACCAACACCAUUGCAUCUCCAUCAACCUCUCUCCUUCCCCACUUGCAGGCCGGGCCCUU